ACUCAGGGAGGCACACGCUUAGCAUUUUAAUCACACUUCGGCCAACCUUCGAAGCUGGCAUGGGGGAGGGGGGAAAAUCAACUUCCUGCUGGCUUUCAAGUUUGACGACAGAACGGCCACACCAAAUGAACUUGCAGCCCUGCCGCUCUCGGUGGCCUUCUUGGCCCGGCUGGAGUCAGCGUACCCAGUCCUUCAGAAGGGAUCACGGGAACGACACCUGCCAAAUACCUGUGGAGUCCAGAAGGCUAAGAAGGCGAUUUCGUCGGGGCAUCCUGGUCACCACAACUGGACACGCAGGCAAUUAUUUACGGUCUGAGAGGCGCUGUGGGAUCAGAGAGAGCCCGGGCUCUGGGGGGUAGCCAAGAUGAAAAAAUUAGGGAAAAUCCACGCUGUUGAAAGUCUGGGAAACAGACACUCCCAGAAACCCUGGGAGUGAACACUAGAGCAACUUCAAAGAACUUUACCUCUCAAAAUGUAAAAAGCGUGCACCCUUUGCUACGCAAGGUCACCUGUAAAGCCA